CCCUGUGAUUAAGCAUAUUGCAAAUAAUUAUUGGUAUCAUCAUUAAAAUAACUAUUUUCUGUAUCAUCAUUUUACAGGCGUGUAUCUAUUUAGCAGACCACAGCAGCUUGCCCAAGCUAAUAGUGUAAGAUACAGAAUUAUGUUGCUUGCAUCAGUUGGGAAUUUCAUGGAAUCUGCUUCUAUUUGACUGUAUUUCCAGAUGGAACCAUGUGCCUAAGUGUUUGUUUUAGGCCUCCAAGAAGUCAUUCCUUUGCAAUGAUCUGUAGCCAGACUGCUCUCCCCUGAGACCAACCUGUGUGACUAAUUUGAGUAAGAGUGUGAUAAACUUUGUCACCACUUAAGAAGAGGCUAAAAAUACUUCCUUUUUUAUUGUUUUCUUUUCCCCCUCCACAUUAUCUAGCAGCACUUUUUGAGGGAUAAUCAAAAGGAGGUGGUGAAGAUGAGAGCUGAUGGGGAAGGUUCUAAAUACCCAAGCUUCAUUUCGGAAGCUUCACACCUUUGAGCCCCCGGGAACAGUUUUGACCCCAGGCUUUUACAGGUUUUGCUGUAAAAUCCGAGCUGCCCAGAACACUUUGUGGCUAAUGGCUUUAGCAGAAGUGACUUUACAGCUAGAGAUGGCCAUCAACCAGGCUUGUCCCAGAUCUAAAAAGGAUGGUUAAUUUGACUUAUUGUGCCAGCUAAAGAUUUCUAAAAAGUAUUUCUCAUUCGGUUAUAGUCUUGUGAUCCAAACACAGUAAAAUGGAGGGAGGGCUUCCCUAAAAGGUGGAGCAGACAGACGUGGUUUGGAGAUGGGGGCAUAUACCGAACUGGGCGCUGCCCAGGGAGUCUUGUCUUAACUUUGUUCUUGACUCACCGAGGAACCUUGGGCAAGUCACAACUUCAUUGUCCUGUGUUUCCUUAACUUUAACGUGGAAGGAUGGAUCACCUCUUUAGUUUUUAAACCUCCCUCUUAUAUCCUCUUCCCCAACAGUGGGGCCUUUUUUUCCGAGUAACAUUUUUGCAGAACUCCAAUAUAUAAAACAGAUAUAAGCGGAGAUGUUUCGUUAAUGGAGGGUCCAGGGAAAAUCCCUCCCUGGCCUCAGGGCUGGCCUCCGAGACACUUCUACUUUCAUCUUGCUUUCAGAGCUCCUUGCCCUCUGUGGCAUUCUAUAAUUCUUAUGAAUGUGAAUUGAACAAUAUUAAUAUCCGUGGGAUUUUUUUUUCUCACUCAGUGCUCACAUCGGGGAGGAAAAAAAAAAAAGAGUCUGAAAUUUCAGCAUGAUUUACGUUAGUAGAAGUAUAAUUCAUUGUAUUAAAGAUGAGUACAGGUCUAACAUACAGCUAUUAGAAGUUAUGGAAAUUCAUGCAGUGCCCGUUUUGGCUCAGUGGUAAUGAACCCAGCUAGUAUCCAUGAGGAUGUGGAUUUGAUCGAUCCCUUGGCUCAGUAGGUUAAGGAUCCAGCAUCAGCAUGAGCUGUGGUGUAGGUCGCAAACGCAGCUCAGAUCCUGCAUGGCUGUGGCUGUGGCAUAGGCUGGCAGCUGUAGCUUCGAUUUGACCCAUAGCCUGGGAACCUCCAUAUGCCACAGAUGCAGCCCCAAAAAGUGGAAGAAAGAAAAGAAGAAGUAGUUAUGGAAAUUCACAAUGCAAACCCUCUUCUUUUGCCCCAGAAUGCAUGGAGCAAGAAUGCAGAAGGGUAAAUAAAUGAUAAGCCUUCAGCCAUUAGCUCGCCCCUCCUAUACAUUUCCCAUCUCCUCCUCAGGUGCAGCUCUUCUUUCUUCUCCUCUCUCAAAUGCUAGAUUACUGCAGAGCUUAGAAUUUUGGCCCCAGAAGGGCUUUUCUUGGUUCCCUGUCCCUCUGUUUCUCUCUUAUGGGAACCAUGUCUGAAGUAGUCUGAUUUCUAUCCAUCGUCUCAGCUGAGACCUUACAGAUUCACUCCCAAACCGUUGCAUAGGAUUAAAUUCUGAGCCUCCCAGGAAAAUUUUCAGAAAGCUUCCUUUGCAGUUGUUAAUUGUAAAAUAAACAGGGAGCAGAGUGUCCUUCUCCUUUGGUGGGCUUCCCUCUAGCAAUGCAGGAGGUGCCGGGACCAGAUUUACACCCACAAUUCCAGACCAGUUCAGGGCUCCCACUUUGUUUUCCUGGUGUGUGGCAUUUUUGCCAACCCAGGUCCCAAUGGCUAAUUGUUCCAGCCUUUUCUGAGCCGUGGUCUUUCCCCGCCAGCAGUUUUUCCAUUGAUGAUUAGAACUGUCCCUCUGAGGCAGAAUGACUCCCCCAAAAUACUAAUAGCAAACACUGUCUAGCAUUUUCUGUCAGCCAGACCCUGUCCUUAGCACUUUACACGUGUCAACUCAUUUGGGCUCUUUGAGAAUGGCCAGACCAAGGCCCGAGUGACAGGGUAGGUACAGAGUUUCCAGAAUCCUUCUUGGCUUGAUGGGGCCAAAUAACUUGCAGGCGGGCAGGGUGGCCAGAUCCCCAAUGCGUGUCCUUCAACUAAAAUGCACAACUUUGAGAAUUCGGAUUUUUAUUUUUUUUAAAAAACAAACAAAUGAGCCACUUGAGUUGCCUGUGUAUGAAAUGAUUGUUUGGCAGGUGGAGUUAUUAUUAUUCUAUUAUGUUAAAAAUGAUUAACAGGGGCUUAAUUUCAUUCCAAACAGAUUGUGUCAAGGCAGCCGGGCGCUGCAGAAGUAUAGUGAAAUAUGAGAUUCUUGAGCCUUUGGUAGAGGCUGAGCUAGAGACCCCAGUUCGUCCUACCCUUUUCUAAACAGCCACAGCCAUGAAACUUUCUUGACCUUUUCACCUUUAAACUUUGUUUGAACUUGGAAAGAAGACUUUUGAAUUAUAAAAAAGAGAGAGAGAGAAGAAAAAAGAAAGACAGGAGAAAAAAGGUUGGGGGAGGCCGCGGAGGAGAUGCGGAGACUGGGAGAAAAGGACUGAUUAUAUGUUAGCGUAACAGUAAUACUAGGAAAAUAAUCCUCCUCUUGUGUAUGAGUUUCUGCUACUGGGAGCCACAGGGUAAUCAGCUCACAUGACAUACCCAGAGGCUAAUGCUAGCCUGUGCUGUUUUUGAACAUAUUCAAACAAAGGCUGAUUAUCCAAACAAGAAUUUGGGCUGCAGCAGUCGGACCAGUUAAAUUAUAGUUAGUAAAACUUGGCGCCUUAUGAGCGUGGAAUGUUACAAUUGCAGCUGGAUCUUCGUUUGUCAGGCAACCUCACUCAACAAUAAAACCAGAGAUUUUUAUCUCCCGGGGACUCAGUUUAACUCCUUGGGUGCAAAGAGGAAAGUGCCAGCUCCCGCAGCCGGGGCUCCUGGCAACACCCGGCUCUCGGUCCUGCUCGAGUUAAUGAGGCAGGGGCGUUUUCGUGCAGUUCUGGAGGGAAAUGGGAAGUGGGUAAAGGCAAGUUGCUCAUCUUAGAUCUUCUGCUGGAGAGAGACUCACUGCUAUCCGUGUAUUCCUCUAAUCGACAUUUAUUACGUGCUGCUGUGGACCAGGCCCUGUGCUAGAAGCUCUGUUUAUAUACAAAUAGCUACCAUGGAUGGCACAAUGUCGUCAGUUGUUAGAAAGUUACAAGAUAUUAUGAGUAAUAGUGAGGGGGGGAAGGGGAAGAUUAAAAAAAGGCUUUUUGAAGAAGGUAUGAUUUGAACCAAGUUUGAGAGAAAGUAGGCUUGAAUCUUUAAGAGUGCCUCUCUAUUUGUGCAGGGAGAACAGCACAAAUAAAGGAGAAAAGGCAGGAAAAUUGGAGAGUGGCUGUGAAGGGAAAGUAGCAGAAGUGAAGGCUGAACACAUUGAUUGAGACUAAACGUAGAUUGGGAAUGUCAAGCCUACGAGGGUGGCCUUUAAAAGUUAUCUUUUGUUUUUACAUAGCUGUCUUUAAUAAGAUGAGAUAUAUUGAAAAGUUUACUCUCUUUUGGGGGGUGGGGUGACAUUGCUCAUAAUAAUUCUCUGAGGAAAAACUGUGAUUCAGAGAAACUAGUAACUGUCCCAAGAUCACACAGCCCUUAAGCAGCAGAGUCAAGGUUCCAAACCCAGAUUGACUCUAACCCCCUCUCCCCAGCUCUUAACUGCUUUUCUGUUCUGCUCUCUGUGCCUUUUAAAUUUGCAGAGUUUAUGGCUGCAGUGCAGAAUGGAUCAGGCAUAUUUUACACAGAGGCCAGAAUGGAUUAUCGCUGUUCUCGUAUUGGAUGGUUAUAGUGUAAAGAGUCUGUUUACAUGGAUGAUCUGUAUAUCAGAGGCCAAUAUGCAGCUACAACGAUCCCCACUCUGAGUUGGUUUAAGCAUAGCGGUUGUCAUUUACAAGUUCACAUGAGCGAGAGUGUUUCUUCUUGACCAAUCCCAUCAGAAGAAGACAGUCUGCUCUCCUAGUUACCUCUGCCAGCAACUUUAUGGUGGUACAGGGCCGAGUUUGGCAGCCAAGGUCCUAUGCAUUUAUGACAUUGCCUUUUCUGAGAAACGCAUUUGAUACCACGAGUCUGUGCCUCCCCCCUUCCCUGCUUCCGCAGGGCAUCUUCCCCGUGUUCUUAUCCUCUGCUGACCCUGCCACUGUCUUGUUUUCUUUCCUGUCCUCUUUGAUAUACUCUGUUAUUGUAAGCCAGGCUUGUGGCUUCUGGGAGGGGUGAUUGGCAGGGUCAGUCAGACUAAGCGCUGAAAUGUGUGUCCCAGAGGUGGAAGCCAGAUUUCCUCUGCGGGCCCUGAGGCCAACUCCUGUGAUGGCUUCGUGGCUAGAAAUAGCAAAAAUCGAAAUGGAUAUUGCAGAUAGUCCAGACAAGCAAAUAAGAAAUCCAAAUGCUUGGAUACUUCAGAUUUUUAAAUUUACUAGUGGAUAUUUUUAACAAUGGAGGCACCAUAGCCUAUCUUGGUAUCCAUUUUUUCCUAUGUAUAGGAUGGAUUUAACAGUUCUUAAGGCAAAGCCAAAUGCUGAUUUCGUGAACUUAUUUUUGAGAAGCAAAAGCAAGAUUGAAUAAAACGGGUUACCGUACAGGUAGUGGGAGUUAAUUGGCACCAGCGUCCUUAUUUAGCAUGGAUUAAAAGUGAAUUUGGAGAGGAGAUACUAGCUUGAACAGAAUUAUCAUCAAGGAUACAUACCCAAUGGAGUUCCCGUCGUGGCGCAGCAGAAAUGAAUCUGACUAGGAACCAUGAGGUUGCAGCUUUGAUCCCUGGCCUCACUCAGUGGGUUAAGGAUCGGUGUUGCCCUGAGCUGUGGUGUAGGUCACAGACGAGGCUCAGAUCUGGCAUUGCUGUGGCUGUGGUGUAGGCUGGCAGCUGUAGCUCCAAUUGGACCCUUAGCCUGGGAACCUCCAUAUGCCACGGGUGCAGCCCUAAAAAGACAAAAAUAAAAACAAACAAAAAAUACCCAAGAGGAAACCCUAGGUUUGAAAUACUGACUGGAGUGGUACAGAUUUGAGGGUUGGGAUUUGUUGUUGUUGUUGUUGUUGCUUUGGGGUUUUUUUGUUUAGUUUUAUUUUGCUUUGGUUUGUCAUUUCAUUCCAUUUGCAAGGCCUCUAGCAGAUAGCUCUGAAACCUUUGAGAAAACCAUUGAAAUUCUAGAAAUAAGCUUUCCAUACUUUAGGAUGCUUUUGGAAAUUUGGGUGGCUUAAUGAUGAGCAUGUCUUCCCUUCCGAUGUUAAACAUUUGCAUUUUUAUCCGUGGCUCUAAAAUUAAUAUAAAAAGGGAACUGCAUUUACUUUGGGAGAUCAUGUUUCAGGAGUAACAGAGGAUAACAUGCUACCGUUAAGAUCUAGAUCAUGCUAAAAGUAUUAAACUUGGCUUUUGGAGAUUAGGUUUUCCCUACUUAAAAUUAAGAACUUAAAGAUUUUAAUCAAGAUAAUCUUAAAAUGUCUUAAGGUGCAACUUAUUCUGAAGGUGAUACUACUUGGAGUGGUAAAGACCAAAGGAGAAAUUGUGAGUUAAUGUUUACUCUUUCAUUACUAUUUUAAUCAAAUGGCUUUACAGCUUGACUUUUAAAUGUGAAUAUAUUUUUUUUAAAGAACAUUCAGGUAUGUGAAGCCAUAACAGUCGUGUUGGAAUUUCACAGGCCCAAAGGUCUUAUACUUGAGUUUUAAAUAUGUAGAUGAUAAAAAUAUUUUGAUUGGGGUUUUCCGUGAGGGCAAAUGCAUUCUCCUCGUGACCUGCAUUUUGGGGCAAGUAUUUGGAUGUUUGGGAACUAUAACCAUCUCUCCUCAAAUAAUAAUAAUGGUAGUAAUAAUAGUAAUAGCAGCAAGAACUACCAUUUAUGGAAAUAAUAAUAGAAGGAACUACCACUUAUUGAAUGCCUGCUCUGCGAUAGGCCCUUUAUGUGCAUAUUUUCUUAUUCUUACAGCUAUCCUGCCCGUAGACUAGUGUUUUUAUUUUUAAGGGACCUGAGCCUAAAAGAAGGUAAAUGAUAAGGAGAGGCUUUGAACCCAGGAUUUUCUGACCCCAAAGUCCGUAUUCUUUCCACUAUAGCAUGAUAUUAAAAAGGAAUGCAUUGUAGCUGAUGCUCAUUUAAAACCUAACAGUUUUAGCACACAUACCCUAAAAAGUUCCAGAGUGAUCUUAUUCAUCAGACCAGAUUCAUCCCCGGUGUCGUUGAGCCCUGCGACUAAAGGGCUCAUUUCUUUUAAAGUAAACUCAAAAACACCCUGAAGUAUAUGUGAACGAAACCUUUUCCCCAAAAGAAGCAUUCCUAAAAGGUACCCGGGGUGGUUGUUCUUGAGACGGGUUUGGAUGACUCCAAGGGCAAAAAAUAGGUUAGCCGUUUGAUUAGAUUUCAAUCUGCCACUCUGGCUUGGGAAUUUUCCUCCGUUUGGACAGGAGAGGAUUUCUGCCCUGAGAAACCAGCCGCUCCCUGCCCCCCUCCCUCUCACUCCCUCUCCCCUUCUCUUCCUCUUCAGAUUUCAACAUGAAAGCACAAUCCAAUUCGGCUUUCUUUGGGGACCCGCAAUACAGUAGACGCACUGCAUUGAUUCUUGAGAACUUUAUUUACAGUCUCAAGUUUUGGGUGCAUACUACUCCAUCGUCGGAUAUAUCAGGAUUUAUUUGGCCAGUUCUUUAGAAGGUAAGGUCUUUAGAAGACAAAUAAGUUGAUUUUCAGUAGGUUAAAAACAAACAAAAAAGCUAAGGGAAGUCCCUUCAGUCUAUGGAAAUAACAUGAGCAAAGGCAUCAGUUUGGAAACAGGCUGAUUAGAAGUUAGCAAAAACAGGUGUAAAAAGAAUAACAAUAGCUAAAAUUCAAAAGAUUAUUUUUACUUUAGUACCAAAAUUGCCUAAUGCUCACAGACUUCAUUUAUUAUCCAUUUUCCAAAAUGGGCCAUACAAGGAAGGAGCAGUGUUUUUUAAGAUUUAACUCUAACUCCAUAGGAUUUGUCAUUUCACUAUUCAUCUUCCUAAACACAGUGUAGUAGAUGCUAGUUUUAGGCAGUAGUUAAACAAAUACUGCUGAUUGAUAAAAUUGCUUACUUUAAAAAGUGAAAGAGUUGUGUACAUAGCAUCUGAAUAAAAUUGAAUAGCACUGAAUGAAAGAACAACAGGGGAUUGUUAGAGACCUCGGACCACCUACUCAUGAGGGCCCCUCUUCAGGGUCUCGGUCUACUCUUUGUGGACUCAAAGGCAGGAAGGCCUCCUCUGACAUGUGGACCCUGUAGCUCAAGGGAUCUAUGCACAGGGAUUGACAGGGCUGACGCUUAGAAUACCAGCCUUCUAACACCCAGGUUUGGCCUGCCGGUCCUGAGAGAACCCUGUAUCCAUCUUGACCACAGAGCUGAUCUAAGGUGGCAUUCUAGACAUGACUGAGUCAGGAACCGGUCUCGAAAUAGGUUGCAAGUGGUCCCUGGGUCUCUCCCUCCACCUCCAAAACUAAACAUGUUCCAGGAGUUAGUGGUGCCCUAGGGGUGGUAUAUCCAGUGACAUUUUGGACAUGGCUGACCUGCUGGCAUGGCCUCGUUGGAGCUUGUGCACCUGAGUCAUACCAGCUGUUGCUGGUGAGCUGGCUGCGUUGGUAAGAGAAUUUCCCUUCCUUUUCUUUUUUAGAACACAAGUCGUGCUUUCAUUUUAAUAGAAUAUCAACCAUUCAGCCUUGUCAUGAUUUAAAAUGAAUGUGGCUAGGCUUGCCUUGGAAUAUGUGUGUAGAAUAACCUAGUUGACAAGGAAUCAUGAAGUUCUCAUUGCGCCUGAUGUUCUCCCAUCGUUCGGAGACCCAUUUUGGUUAAUUUGUUUCUCUGUAUAGUUUCUGGUGGGAAAAAUGCAUUGCUUUGCUACUAAAAUUAUCUUGAUUGAAAUAUCGUAGACUUUGUCAUUUUCCAGUGGCUCAAGAGGUUAUUUCCCAAGUGUUUAAUUUUUUUAAGUACAGUGCAUAUUAAUUUAACUGCUACCUUCUGACAUUCGUCAUUCCUUGAAAAAGUAUCGACUGCAGACAUCGAACGGAUUUGUAUUUUCCAUUCAAUGUGGAGUUUAUUUAACUUUGAAGAUAUCGUGCAGAUUUGAUAAAGAGGAGGUUUUUAAAAACGUGUACCAUUUAUUGAUUUGCUAAAUAUAAUUUUCACAUUUUUCUUUAAAGUAUUCUACAAUAUAUCUUUCAGAAGGAAACACUUAAAGACUAAUGCAAUCUACAGGAACUGUUCAAUCAGAAAUAAUGAGUGGAGAGGUCAGUUGUCAAGAACAUAUUGUUUGAAAUACUUACAGUUAAGGGUUUCCAGUCUUUGAGGUAAAAAGUUCUGCCAUGAAAAAUAUGGACUGCCUUGGGCUCCUGAAUUCUGUACAGCAUGUCACGAUUUUCGCUCCUGGGCUAAAGAUAGAAAGUAAAAUAAAAUGUUCUUUGUCCAUUUAGUUAUCCUUGACUCCAUGAAAUUCUCCAAAGUAAUUACUGGUGACCACAAUACCACCUACCAGCAAGAACAGCAUUGACCCGGUGCCAGCUGCCUUAUUGCUGACCACAGCCGCUCUUGACUAGAGCAGAUGUUUCUCCUUUUGCCUUGCCAGUAAAAUUUUAUUGAGCAGUUUUGCAAAUAGAGAGCAGUAUACUCUGCCUGGUGAGCAGCCAGAGCUCUUAGCCACCUUGUCCAAUGAGGUUCGAUUUCUGCCGUCUGCCAUGAGGCCCUCACUCCUUGGGUCCGUGCAUCUCACCUCCCAGGCCUCUGGACUCGUAAACUGCAGUGCUCUUGGGUUUGCCUGCCUCCCCAUCCACCCAUGUAAUCUUCCCAAAGAAAAUAAUGUUGGAAGAGCAACCACACUUGUGGUUGCAACUUGCUGCUUUAAAGGGCUGUCACAUUAGAAUCUUGCUCUUACGAGUUGUGGGUUUGCAAAAAGGAGUUAGGGUACUUUGUUGGGAUGUUUUGUUAGGAUGCUUUGCUGCAUUUUUCCACAUCUCUUUGGUUUGGAUGUUGACUUGGAAAUCUCUUUCGAAUUAGCUUCUUUUGGAGCGCGUUCUCGAUUCCCAAGCCCAACUUGAAGCCUUUCCCUGUGAAGGCGGCCAAGGAAACUUCCUCUGAUCCCCGCCUCUUUGUAGCUAUCGUGGAUGGCACCUCUUUGAGUCUGAAAAUCGAAGCACUUUAAAGGUCUCGGGGGUUUUUUGGCUUGGUUGUUUUUCCUUUGGAUGGGGUAAUAUAGUUUCUCUCUGUGUUCCUUGUCUGGAGGUAAAGGAAUAGAUUUCUUGAGUUGUGGCCAAUACUGCUUUUUUUUUUUUUUUUUUUUUUUUUAAUGGAACUCUAAGGGACCACCCCCUGCCAUGAUUCCAGCUCAUUUCCCAGGGCCUUUCAAAGAAAUCAACUCCUAAAGAUAAACUGAGAGUCUAACCCCCACCCCAGGGUGGCAUGAAUUCCCACAGAGCCUUGGGCCGGGGGAGGACAGGUAAGAUAUAAGAUCAAAGGGCAAAGGCCAUAUGGUGGGACUUUGCCUGCCUUGUGCUUCCUCGGUGGGAAGUACUGUGACCUGAGUCCCUUGGUGUUCAUUCCAGGAGUGUGUCUUUGUGGGAACUCAUCUAACCAGCUCUGUGGCAGAUGGCCGAUUCUGACAGCCUGAUUUUAAGGUUCCUAACACGUAUGAUACCAGGGCUUCAUUGAUUAUUCUAUUUAGUCCGUAUUAGGAUACGCAGGCCAAGGUGAGUGACUACUUUAGACCUGUAGGUCAAGAAGUUUGAAGCCCUUUUAAUGCCUUAAACCACUUGGAGUUGUUUAAAGUAGCGGCAUGCUCUCAAAUCCUUGUUAUCAUAAAACUUUAUUCUUCUUUGAUCUUAAAAAGAGGGACUUACUUAGAUUAAUGUAUAUUCUUUCCCCUGUUCCUCCAUACAAGGGAAAUUUAUUUUGAAAAUAAGAACCUUGAAAGCAAUGUCUGUACUGCUAGACUGGGUAUUUGGCUCAGGACUGGGGCCUUUCUUUUUUUUUUUAAUGUUCCCAGAGCAGAGCACUCUUUAAACUAGGAUGAGAAAAGUUAAUUUUAAUCCUCCAAAGGCUUAUUUGCUAGCACAAAAGGUCACGAAACACACCCAAAACACUGUACUGCUGAGAUCUUAAGGAGCGAGGUCCCAGCAGCAGAGAGGAACUUGUCUCCCAACCCAGAAUUGUGUCUCUGGCUGAAGACACAGUUUGCUUUAGGAGCACCACUUCCUACUGACACCCCCCAAAUAGAAGGGCCCCCCCUUAACCUGUCUAAGGGGAAACUCCGUUUCACAUCGUUUCAUCUCAGAAGAGAGUUCUUCAGAAGUGGUUGCAAAAUGGUGGUAGAAGACGUUAUUUCCAAGGAGGUCGAAGUAGCUGUUCUCUGUCCAAUCUUUUUAUAAUUAUGACCCCUCAACCUGUGAUCUGUCAAAAGAAAAGAAAGACUGGCCACAUCCAGCCGACAGACCCGUGGAAUCCGAAAACAUGAUGACCCAAUUUUUCAAAGCUUUUGAGCUGAUUUCUUGGGGUAUGCAAAUGUCACCUUCCCCCCCCCCCCCCGAUUAAAAAUCAGAAAUUGCAUGAGGCAGGCUUGAAGAGAAUCCCAAAAUAAGGUACCGAAUAACAGCCGCCAUUGUAGACAUAGGGAAGUCUAGGGAAUGAAUGGCCUUGCUCUUCUGUAGGGAAAAGGUCUUUUCCUUGGGUUUGUUUGGUGGAAGUUUGAGGAACGGUCACCUCUGGGACCCAGGAGAGAGCUUCACCCUGUGGUUGGCUGUGUGCAGUUAGACUUCAGUAUUCCUAAGUUGAUUUAUUGUCCUCAGCCCACAUGUGAAGUAAAAGGUUGUUAAAGGGUAGGGAUGAAAACCCAAUUUAAAAUUUCACUUCUGGCAGUUCCCUUUGUGGCUCAGCAGUUCAUGAACCCAACUAGGAUCCAUGAGGACAUGGGUUCGAUCCUGGCUGUGGUGUAGGUCACAGAUGCAGCUCGGAUCCUGCGUUGCUGUGGCUGUGGCAUAGGCCGACGCCUACAGCUCCGAUUCAUCCCCUAGCCUGGGAACUUCCAUAUGCCACGGGUGUGCCCCCUCCAAAAAAAAAAUUGGUUCUGAUAGAUUUAAAAACACUUGCUGCUUCCCAUUGUGGAUUCUGACAUCUUCUGAAAACAAGGCCUGCUCAGCCAUUAAGAAUUCUCAAUAUAUUGUGCAAGUCUUUGUGAUGGUAAGAGGACUGAGAGCAAAGAAAGGUUUGUUUUUCAUUUAAAAAUUGCUUUAGAAACUAAAGUUGUAACUGAGCACCGCUCUGUACUGUAUCAAGCCAUAAUAUCCAGUGAGUCAUGAAGACAUGAGGGCAACCCUGGAGACAGCACAAGAAACAUUGGAGUUAAUGUUUGAGAUAAGGAAGAUGACUAUCUCUGAAAAGGAACUGAAAUUAAAGUGCAUGGCCUCCCAUUUUUGCAUGACUGAAGGGAAUCCUUUCAGUGAUGCUUCCUUUACCCACCAGUGAUUGGUCGUCCUGUAGGUGGAAGAGGCAGGUGGAGAACCAGACACCAGGCUUCUAAGCCCACUUAGGCCAUGAGACCUGAAGCAAAGUACUGCCCCUCUUGGCUUCAGUCCCUUACCUGACAAUGACUGAUGGACCUCGUCAUCUCCAUGGCCCCUUCUGGUCCAAGGAGCUUGUGAAUCUGGUUUUUGAACAGAUGGAUGAUCCAUUGGAUGAUCCUGAGAAGGUUUUAUCCUUUGUGGCCACCCUGGUGGUGCCUCUUAUCACCAGGAGUACCUUCAUCCCUGGAGCACACAGGAGACCAGGGCCCAGUUUCUGCUGUUUCCUCCUAGCCAGGAAUCCAGAUGGCCACCGUCCCCAUCCCACGGGCUGGCUCCAAGAAACCCUUAGCUCAGGGAGGUCAUUUCAUUUCCUGUGAGCCUGUGAUUCAGGCUUAUAUCACUGCUCCAAGCCCUGGCCCCACUUGUCCAUCUGGAAGGUGGGACAGUCGAGGCUUUAGCCCCUGCAGGCUCUUGUCAAGUUGCAUGGCCUUUCAGGGAUCUGUCAGCCUGCUGACAAGCUGGUGGACAGUCCAAUCCUUUUGUUAACUUCAGGCCUAAUUCUAAUGAAUUCAGGAUUCCUUGUUGAAAAAAAGACUGGACCUUGGUGUGCUCAAGACUCUGCCCUUGAACCCUCUGGGCUGAUGACUGAUAUGUUGGUCUCUUGGGACAGGGCUGUACAGUUGAGCAAAGUAGCAAGAGCUUCAGAUCUCUGUGGGUCAUCUGGCCCCCAUAAAAAGAGCAAGAGCAACUGGGAAAAGGCUAGACCGCUAGGUUCCCAGCUCUACUGGAUUAUGAGACAAAGCCACCCUCUCCAUCUUUGUUUAUAGAACUCGUUUUCAGGAACAAGUGUUUUCUCGUGAGGUGGAGGUUAAGAAGCAGUGUUUAUAAUUGAAGAUCUCAAAUAUGUGAGCCCUCUAUCAAGCUCAAUCUAAAGGAACUUUGCAUGGGUGGCAGUUUAGGAGAAAAAGGGAGAAAAGAAUAAGGGGGGAAAAACCUAAUAAAAAUAGCUGAGAUCACUCAACAGUUAUCAAGAAACAGAUACUAGAGUUUUAUAACACUAAGUACUAAAAGUAUAUGCACUCUUAAAAGGCAAUUAAAACGUAUGCUCUGAAACUAUAAAACAUUUUCUUUUCAUCUGCAACAUAGAGGGCAGAUUACAACACAUUAAUAACGUUUUGUUUAGAGUUCAGUUUCUGAUGGGUUCCAAAUGUAGUCUGUGUAGAUUAACCAGAAAGAGUCCAGUUCCCUUUUUUAAGAGCGCUUGUAAAGGAAAGCAAUGUGGUAAGAUUGUUAUGAAAAGAGAGUGUAUUUAGGAAAUAGCACUUAGCAGGGUCUCUCUGAAUGGCUGCCAGGUCAGGAAGCUGAAGUGCAAGGCUUGGCCCUUGUUCAGCCCCCCCGGUUCCAGCUCCUUGACCACACAGUACGUCAGGCACAUGUCACAGGCCAGCCAGGAAGACUCGGCCCCGCCCCUGGGCCAGCUUGGCACGGCCGCUUUCACAUAACCCAGGGCUCCAGAGGGGCCGGAGGCAGGCAUUCCAGGGCCACGGGAACAUGCAAUUUUUUAAAAUAGAAAUGAAGACCUUAAGGGGGGGAAAAAAAAAAAAGCCUGGGAAUCACACAGUCGCUGAGUCCUUAUGGACCAUGGUCCCGCAUGGAGAGUGUCAGAGCUGAAAAGGGCCUUCGGGGUUAUCUCAUCCUCCUCUGCCCUCAUCUUAGAGACAAGGAAAUUGACUUGCCUUAGUGGCAGUGGCAGGGCCCCUGUGGGAUCCGUCUCCCCCCGUUCUCCGUUCACUGAACCCACUGGCUCCACCUCAGUGGGCCACAUCUUCUGCCUUGAGAGCUCUGUCCUGUCCUGUCGCUGUGCCGUGGUGGGGGAGGCCCUGUGUGGACCCCCUCCCCCUUGGGUCUUGGCUCUCCAACCAUCUGUCGCUCUCUCCUGCCGCUUGCCUAACCACUCUGUGCCUCAGCCUCAGUUUCUUCAUCUGCAGAAUGGAGACAGUCUCAGGGUUACAUCCUCGCAGAGCAGUUAUAAGGGUUCACUGAAUAAAUGGGUGUGACAUUUGUAGGGCCUGGCCCUUAAUAAGAGCUCAAUCACCUUAGCUAUUGUCAUCAUUAGUCAUGGCCUUUCUUGGCCUUGGUAGUAUCCCUGCGAUGUCAUGAUUGUCAUUGCUCUUGUUUCCACGGUGGCCGCAUCACAGUCACCCUCAGGAAUUUGGGCUGGGGGUGGGCUGGGGAGGGGCACUUGCUCUAGGAGGUUGCCCCGCCCAGGGUUGUGGGGCAGAGUCAAGUCACCAGCGCCUCUCGGCUAGGUCAUGAAGUCCUUCCAUGAGAUUCCACCUGAGCAGAGGGAUUUAGAAGUAUUGUGGGGUUUUGAGGGCUUUUGUUUGGUUUUAACUGUUGUUGUUUUUGCAUUUCUAACUUCACUCUGUAAUUUUCGUUGAAAGGGACUCUAGAGAUGAUUGAGUGAUCGUUUCACAUGUGGGAAAACUGGGGCUCAGCGAGAUAACGUCAUUUGCCUUAUGCUUUGCUACCCAGACUUCGCGGUUGCCUGGAGCUCUUGCCUUACUUGUACAGAAACGGAAAACCGGAGGAGAAAGAGCCUUAGGAUAAUACCCACAAGACCUCAGUCCUUUAGCCUUUCCUCUACAUCAGGCCCAGGGGACCCUGUUAAACCCCGGUUGUGACCUUCUUCCUUAGUCGACACAGAGGUGACCCUAAAGAAAAAUUCAGGAGAGCCGACCCCUUCGUUGGGUAUUAGUAGAGAACAAUCCCUGUGAAAAUUAAGUGGAUGUUUGUUUUUUCAUUUAAAACCUUGAAAAGACUUAACCCUGUCAGGCUGCUACUGUCUCACCCAAAGCAGUGUCUUUUGGCGCCUCACAGGGUACCUGGGAUUGAAUCCGAGCCACAGCUGCGACCUGCAGCAACACUGGAUCCUUUAACCCACUGUGCUGGGCCAGAGAUCGAACCUGCACCUCCGCAGUGACCAGAGCCCCUGUAGUCGGAUUCUUAACCCACUGGACCAUAGCGGGAACUCCAACAAGCACAUGUCUUUGCUUAAUAGAAGGCUUACUAGUUUAGAAAGUAAAAUUACUUUCUCGGUUUAUGCACAAUUGUCUUUUCCUUGAGCUUUUCUCUCUCCUUUGUCCUGGUGUCAAAUCGGUCUUCCUGUUUUUCUAAAUGUCUGAUCAAGAAGUUGGUGAGAUUAGAAAAUCUAUCCUGCUUUAAAUAGAGAAGGAUAGUAUUUGGUUACUGGAAACGUUUUGCGUCCUUACCAACAGCAAUACUACAACAACAUAUGUCAUUAUUUACCUAGAAAAGUCAACUAUAAAUUCAUUCCAACCUUCAAUAAAAAUGUUUUAGAGGGUUCCCAUCAUGGCUCAGUGGAAACAAAUCUGACUAGCGUCCAUGAGGAUGCAGGUUCAAUCCCCGGUCUCACUCAGUGGAUUACUAAUUUGACCCCUAGCCUGGGAACCUCCAUGUGCCGUGAGUGCAGCCUUAACGAGACCAAAAUAAAUUUUUUUUAGCUUUUUCCUUUUCAGAUUUUAAGCUAUAGUAUCACCUGGCCACCUUAAAACAGCCCCGUUGUGUGGUCUCCCUCUCUCUUUCCUGGUGCCUUCCUCUUUGGGACUCUUUUUAGUUUCAUUAAUCUAAAUUUGUUCCGAAGGCACUGAAACAGCUUUUCUAAGAGCCAUAAUUGUCACAGAAAGAGCACAAAUGCCUUAUUGAAGUUUCAGAUUUUGCUCUGUUUGGAGCUCCCGGAGAUUGGAACAGUUCCUCCAUCCUCGUCUGUGCUCCAGAGUUGAAGGAAAAUAUCAAAGCUUUCGCUUCUCUGAUGCUUGUCAAUCAUACCCUUCCCAGCAGCUAAUCACGUUCCUAGUUUUCCAAAGAGAAAAAUCAAAUGUCCAGAGGUAACUAGUCCCCUCAAGGUCACCUGAAAAGCUAGGAAGAGAGCUUAGAUGAGUGUGCCUGGGUUUCUUUGCCUCCCAAAGACCUCCAGGAUACACUGUCUGUAGUUUCCACUUUCACUUUCCUACAUAUUUCUUAGUUUGAUGGUGUAUGGGAAGCAUGGUGGGAAACUGGCGAUGACUUCAGUGGUCAGAGACUUUGAAUAUCAUCCUGGCCCAUAAGGCGUCCCGUCAAUCUCUGGAACCCCAGUGGGCACCUCCUCCCAUGCUUCGGUGUUAGUGUGGAAUCAGAGUGAACUUGGCCUCGUGCCUCUAUCUUGGGAGUUGGUUUGAGGGCUGAGCGUAUGUAUGGAGUUCAGCUUUUCCAUCAGGACACUCAUUUAGGGGAAGACUUUUGUACUUUUUUAAAGCUUGAUCACCCUGCAUGUCAGGUUUGGGGACUAAAGUUUUCCUGUUGAGCGGCUCCUGUGGAGGACCUUAUCACAGCUUUCUUUUCCCUGAGCUAUUUGUAGUAAAGUACUGGCCAUUUGUUUAUGUGUUCAGUGACUAACACCUAAUAAAAUAAUAAGUGGAUGGGGUUUGUUUGACUCUAAGGAAUUUGGGGGCCUUGCUUAUUUUCUUGCCAAGAUACCCUGUGCAACUUUGCUCCUACAUUUAGGGAUGGGAGAUGCCACACUAGGCAUUUUCCCCUGAAAAUGGAGUCUCAUCAAACCAAAAGAGUAUUUUCUGAAACCCCAAGUUACCACUAUAUCAUAUUUAUUUUCUGACUUUGAUCUUUACUUUUUAUAGUUAAGGAAACAUUUCCCACCCAUUCUCAACCUCUCCUGGUAGUCAUAGGAUAAAUGGGCUAAUGGCUCAUUACAUAAUUGAGGCUUCCUUUUUUAACAUGAAAGUGCUAUGUUUCAGAGUGCUUUCAAAGUAACCCUGAGCUGGACCAGACUACAUGGGGUCAUUAAACCUUCCUUCUUCAAGCCAAGAGGUACUUUUCAUUUUUGGUGAUUUAAAAAAAUGGAAUGUCUUUGUCCAUGGAGUCCUGUGCAUUUAAGGUUGAUGCCCACUUCUUGCCUUUAAUCAAAACCAUUGAGUCUGGGGAGUUGCCGUUGUGGCUCAGUGGUAAUGAAUCCGACUAGUAUCCAUGAGAAUGCAGGUUCAAUCUCUGGCCUCGCUCAGUGGGUUAAGGAUCCGGCAUUGCUGUGAGUUGUGGUGUGGAUUGCAGACGUGGCUCAGAUCUGGCAAGGCUGUGGCUGUGGUGUAGGGCAGCAGCUAUGGCUCUGAUUCUAUCCCUAGCCUCCUGGGAACCUCCAUAUGCCACAGGUGUGGCUCUGAAAAAGCAGAAACAAACAAACCAUCCAACCUUGAGUCUGGGGCCCGAAGAGAGAUGAGUUGGCUACAUAGGCGAACAAGAGACAGAGCCACACAAAAAUAACCAAUACAAAAGGAGUCUCAUGGUUUUAGGAUUGUUUGUGUCCUAUGGCACAGGAACCCAAAGUUAUUUCUUCAGCCUUAACCUCAACAUCUACAGAUGGUCUUUGAGCAACCUGCAAGCGAAGGGUGGGCCUUCUUACUGCACGUGUAUAUGCAUCUGAGCAGUUUCUGGGGGUGAAAUCAAAUUCUGUUUAGAUAUUUUCUAAACCAAAUCAAGACAUUUCCAUUUUUAAAAAAUGUACAUUAUGCUUUAUACUUAUAGAGCAUUUCUACCCACUUUAUAUCCUUUAAAAUCUAAACCAUUGAGGAAUUCCAAUCAAGGCUCAGCAGUUAACAAACCCAACUAGUAUCCAUGAGGAUGUGGGUUCGAUCCCUGGCCUCCGUCAGUGGGCUAAGGCUCUAGUGUUGCUGUGACUGUGGUAUAGGCCGGCAGCUGCAGCUCCAAUUUGACCCCAGCCUGGGAAUGUCCAUAUGCCAGAGUGUGGCCCUAAAAAGACAAAAGACAAAAAAA